AUGCUCUGCAGACUGGAGGAGGAAGAGGAGAUGUCUCUACUGGAGCUACAGCAGAGGGUGGACUGUAUCAUCACCCAUGUUGAUGAGAUUAUGCAGCAGGAGAUCAGGCCGUUACUGGCAGUCGACAUAAUUGAACAACUUCACAGGCAGUUUGCUCUUCUUUCAGGUGAGAAAUGAAUAUGUCUGUUUGCUCUUCAGGUUGGGAGAAAAAGGCUUAUUGUUUUUUAAGCUAUUUACUUUCCUUCUCUAUAGCUAUUGGUGACGCUUUUGAACUUUGACCCUUUCUUGUUUGUGAGGAUGAAUGUGGGUCAGGUUUCUGUGGUGGCAGUUAAUUGAUGUUAAUGCUCGCGAAUCACAUUCACUCAUGUCAGUACUGUUGUACAAUUCCCAGUCCUCCAUUUCCUCGGAUGCUCAUUAGCACAUAAAAACUUCUGCUGUCUCAUUUUCUCAUGAUGCAUAUUAUAUAAUAAUGAAUCGAGAAAUAUCCAAGGGCCCCUCGGUGAAUCUCCAUUUGUGGUUUAUGAACCCAGCGUCCACAAUUAACUUUUAGCCACACUGACUUGAGAAUGGAGAAAUUAUACCAGCCAUAAAUAUUUCUUACAGGUCAUUCAACACAUCAU
ensembl:lncRNA